UUCACACCUACUACCAUGAACGCAAAAACUGAACAAAAGGCUUCUAUGAUGCCUCUUAGAUAUUCAAUUGAAAGAUAAAUGAAUUUUACGAUUAAACCUUGAAAAGUAAACAACAGUAAAUGUGUGAAUCGAACUUCUAAUUGCUAAAUACCAAUUGCCAUCGGAAUUUUAUCUCGUGUGCAUUUGAGAUCCAUAAACCAACAAGCGUACCUGACAAGAGGU
rnacentral:lncRNA from 1 species